UAACACAUGCAAGUCGAGCGGUAGCACAGAGAGCUUGCUCUCGGGUGACGAGCGGCGGACGGGUGAGUAAUGUCUGGGAAACUGCCUGAUGGAGGGGGAUAACUACUGGAAACGGUAGCUAAUACCGCAUAACGUCGCAAGACCAAAGAGGGGGACCUUCGGGCCUCUUGCCAUCAGAUGUGCCCAGAUGGGAUUAGCUAGUAGGUGGGGUAACGGCUCACCUAGGCGACGAUCCCUAGCUGGUCUGAGAGGAUGACCAGCCACACUGGAACUGAGACACGGUCCAGACUCCUACGGGAGGCAGCAGUGGGGAAUAUUGCACAAUGGGCGCAAGCCUGAUGCAGCCAUGCCGCGUGUAUGAAGAAGGCCUUCGGGUUGUAAAGUACUUUCAGCGGGGAGGAAGGCGAU
rnacentral:rRNA from 1 species